rnacentral:rRNA from 1 species
CAAUCUCCCACCCGUGUCUACCACACCUAGUGUUGCUUUGGCGGGCCCACUCCUCCGGUGUUCCGCCGGGGGGGUCGUCCCGGGGCGCGUUGUGCCCCCGGGGCCCGUGUCCGUCAGAGGCACUCACUGUGAACGCUUUUGUGAAUGCGAGGAUUGUCUGAGUGACGAAAUGCAAUCGUUCAAAACUUUCAACAAUGGAUCUCUUGGUUCCGGCAUCGAUGAAGAACGCAGCGAAAUGCGAUAAGUAAUGUGAAUUGCAGAAUUCCGUGAAUCAUCGAAUCUUUGAACGCACAUUGCGCCCUCUGGUAUUCCGGGGGGCAUGCCUGUCCGAGCGUCAUUGCGAACCCUCAAGCACGGCUUGUGUGUUGGGCCGCCGUCCCCUCGUUUGGAGGGGACGGGCCUGAAAGGCAGCGGCGGCGUCGCGUCCGGUCCUCGAGCGUAUGGGGCUCUGUCACGCGCUCAAGGAGGGGUCCGGCCGGGGCCAUAGCCUCUGAAGGUCAAUUCUUCCAAGGUUGACCUCGGAUCAGGUAGGAGUACCCGCUGAACUUAAGCAUAUCAA